UAGCCUUGACAUACUACAGAAUUUGACAGAGAUGUUGGAGUGCCUUCGGGAGCUGUAAUACAGGUGCUGCACGGCUGUCGUCAGCUCGUGUCGUGAGAUGUUGGGUUAAGUCCCGCAACGAGCGCAACCCUCGUCCUUAGUUACUAACGGUUCGGCCGAGGACUCUAAGGAGACUGCCUUCGUAAGGAGGAGGAAGGUGAGGACGACGUCAAGUCAUCAUGGCCCUUGCGGCUAGGGCAACACACGUGCUACAAUGGUUAGGACAAUGAGAAGCGAUACCGCGAGGUGGAGCAAAUCUAUAAACCUAAUCUCAGUUCGGAUAGCAGUCUGCAACUCGACUGCUUGAAGCUGGAAUCACUAGUAAUCGUAAAUCAGCUAUGUUACGGUGAAUACGUUACCGGGUCU
rnacentral:rRNA from 1 species